rnacentral:tRNA from 1 species
UCCCUGGUGGUCCAGUGGUUAGGACGCCCUGCUUCCAUUGCAGGGGACAUGGGUUCGAUCCUGGUUAGGGAA